UCAAGCUAUCCACUUGCCUCAGCCUCCCAAAUUGCUGAGAUUAGAAGAAUGAGCCACUGUGCCUGUGACUUACUUCUAACCCACAGAAUAGAGCAACAGUGAGAGGAUGUCAAUUCUGUGAUAGAUUGCAAAAUAUUGUAAGUUCCUAGCAGUCUUUCUCAUUGGUUUCAAUAAAAAAAAGCUGCUGUGCUGGAGGGACCCAUGAGGCAAAGAACUGAGAGCAGCCUUUAGCUAACAGCCGGCAAGGAAUGAGGUGCUUGGUCCAGCAAUCACAGAGAAACUGAAUCCUGCUGAUGAUCAUGAGGGUGAGCUUGGAAGCAGAUUCUGUCCCAGAUGAACUUUGAUUGUGUCUUGUUAGAAACCCUGGACCAACUCCUUGAUUGCACCUGUGAGAGGCCCUGAAGCGGAGGGCCCAGCUAAGGUGUGUCUGGAUUUCUGACCCACAGAAACUGAGAUCAUAAAUGUGUGGUUUUAAGCCCUACUCCAGCACUUUCACAGUCAUUUACGGCAUCUGCAGAGCAGUGAAAAAUUUGAAUUGCCUGAGAUACAUGCUCCCUGCUGAAGUCGCACAAGAUGGCAAGGAUAUUGCUGUUGGCUCAUAGGAUGUGAACAGUGGUGUUGAGAUUACCCUCAUUUGGCUGAUGAUGUCAUUGAGGCCCAGAGAAGGUAGGACACCUGGCAGGGCCUGGCUUUGGGGCUAACUUCUGCAGCUCUUUUGAUUGCCCCCACCUUACAGUUUUUGGCACAGAGCACUGUGUAGCUGGCACUUCUCUACUGGCCCGAAUGAGAAAACUUCCUCAGAGCAAAAUGUCAAGCACCAAAUAAGAUUCAUGUUUACUGUGAAGUGAUUGCUGCUUUUUAAAUGCUUAUCAGAAGCCGAAGGACAAACUCAGUAGGUUGAUUCAUGCUGAGCUCGACUACCUCCGUGAGAAAUGACUCUCCUGUAGGGCUCGAUGACCUUCAUGUCAAUGCGCUGCUCUUGUUCUCCA
rnacentral:lncRNA from 1 species